CGCAUCUGUGCAUGCAGCAUAUCAAUAAGCGGAGGAAAAGAAACUAACAAGGAUUCCCUCAGUAACGGCGAGUGAAGCGGGAAGAGCUCAAAUUUGAAAUCUUGAAAGGUCACCUUUCACGAAUUGUAGUUUAAAGAAGUGUUUUCUGUUACGAUCGUAAUAUAAGUUCUUUGGAAUAGGACAUCACUAGAGGGUGAGAAUCCCGUCUAUGAUUGCGAUUUGUAACUUUGUGAUACACUUUCAAAGAGUCGGGUUGUUUGGGAAUGCAGCCCAAAACGGGAGGUAAAUUUCAUUCUAAGGCUAAAUAUUGGCGAGAGACCGAUAGCGAACAAGUACCGUGAGGGAAAGAUGAAAAGAACUUUGAAAAGAGAGUUAAAUAGUACGUGAAAUUGUCAAAAGGGAAGCGUUUAACACCAGUGUUGUUUUCUGAAAAUCAACCUCUGUUAGCUUUAUGCAUGUUUGUUUAGACCUAAUCAGCUAUCUUGCAUGUUCUAUUGUUUGCAGUGGUGCAGCUUUUCAGUUUACAGGUCAACAUCAGUUUUUUUUACCGUAAAAAAGUUAAAGAAAGGUAGCUCAUGGCUCCGGUCGUGAGUGUUAUAGUCUUUUUCCUAUGCGGUAGGAGAGACUGAGGUCUGCAGUGUAGGCUAUUUGGCUAGAUACUCAGGUGCUAUGUGAUACCAUUUCAUAAACAACUUGUUGAUUAUGUUUUGUCUAUUGCAUACUCGCUUGUACUAUCAUACCUACGCUUAGGAUGUUGAAGUCAUCGUAUCGCGC
rnacentral:rRNA from 1 species